AGUCGAGGGGAAACGACAUCGAAAGCUUGCUUUUGAUGGGCGUCGACCGGCGCACGGGUGAGUAACGCGUAUCCAACCUGCCCACCACUUGGGGAUAACCUUGCGAAAGUAAGACUAAUACCCAAUGACGUCUCUAGAAGACAUCUGAAAGAGAUUAAAGAUUUAUCGGUGAUGGAUGGGGAUGCGUCUGAUUAGCUUGUUGGCGGGGUAACGGCCCACCAAGGCAACGAUCAGUAGGGGUUCUGAGAGGAAGGUCCCCACAUUGGAACUGAGACACGGUCCAAACUCCUACGGGAGGCAGCAGUGAGGAAUAUUGGUCAAUGGACGAGAGUCUGAACCAGCCAAGUAGCGUGCAGGAUGACGGCCCUAUGGGUUGUAAACUGCUUUUAUAAGGGAAUAAAGUGAGUCUCGUGAGACUUUUUGCAUGUACCUUAUGAAUAAGGACCGGCUAAUUCCGUGCCAGCAGCCGCGGUAAUACGGAAGGUCCGGGCGUUAUCCGGAUUUAUUGGGUUUAAAGGGAGCGUAGGCCGGAGAUUAAGCGUGUUGUGAAAUGUAGACGCUCAACGUCUGCACUGCAGCGCGAACUGGUUUCCUUGAGUACGCACAAAGUGGGCGGAAUUCGUGGUGUAGCGGUGAAAUGCUUAGAUAUCACGAAGAACUCCGAUUGCGAAGGCAGCUCACUGGAGCGCAACUGACGCUGAAGCUCGAAAGUGCGGGUAUCGAACAGGAU
rnacentral:rRNA from 1 species